rnacentral:ncRNA from 2 species
AGUUGCCGCGCCGCGACAGGUUCCCCGCAAGGGGAUGAAAAGGGAACUCGGGUGAAAGACCCGGGCUGCCCCUGCAACUGUAAGCGGCGAGCCAUCCGGCCAUUUUGCCAUUGGGACCAUACGGUCCUGAGAAGGCGGCCGGAACGGCGCUGACCCGUGAGCCAGGAGACCUGCCCGUCGCCGUCGUUCUUC